AUUGAACGCUGGCGGCAGGCUUAACACAUGCAAGUCGAACGGUAGCAGGAGAAAGCUUGCUUUCUUGCUGACGAGUGGCGGACGGGUGAGUAAUGCUUGGGAAUCUGGCUUAUGGAGGGGGAUAACUACGGGAAACUGUAGCUAAUACCGCGUAGAAUCGGAAGAUGAAAGUGCGGGACCGCAAGGCCGCAUGCCAUGAGAUGAGCCCAAGUGGGAUUAGGUAGUUGGUGGGGUAAAGGCCUACCAAGCCUGCGAUCUCUAGCUGGUCUGAGAGGAUGACCAGCCACACUGGAACUGAGACACGGUCCAGACUCCUACGGGAGGCAGCAGUGGGGAAUAUUGCGCAAUGGGGGCAACCCUGACGCAGCCAUGCCGCGUGAAUGAAGAAGGCCUUCGGGUUGUAAAGUUCUUUCGGUAUUGAGGAAGGAGUGUAUGUUAAUAGCAUACAUUAUUGACGUAAAUACAGAGA
rnacentral:rRNA from 1 species